CACGUAGGGGGCGAGCGUUGUCCGGAUUUAUUGGGCGUAAAGAGCUCGUAGGCGGUUUCGUAAGUCGGAUGUGAAAACUCCAGCUCAACUUGGAGACGCCAUUCGAUACUGCGAUGACUUGAGUCCGGUAGGGGAGUGUGGAAUUCCUGGUGUAGCGGUGAAAUGCGCAGAUAUCAGGAGGAACACCGGUGGCGAAGGCGGCUUGCUGGGCCUUACCUGACGCUGAGGAGCGAAAGCGUGGGGAGCGAACAGG
rnacentral:rRNA from 1 species